rnacentral:ncRNA from 3 species
UGCCCCCUCCAGGAAGCCUUCU